rnacentral:rRNA from 1 species
GUCGAGAAUCUUCCACAAUGGGCGAAAGCCUGAUGGAGCGACGCCGCGUGACUGAAGAAGCCCUUCGGGGUGUAAAGGUCUUUUCUAUCCGAGGAAUUUUGACUUUAGGAUAGGAAUAAGGGGCCGCCAAACUCGUGCCAGCAGCGGCGGUGAUACGAGUGCCCCAAGCGUUAUCCGGAAUUAUUGGGCGUAAAGCGUCUGUAGGGGGUUUGAUACGUCUUCUGCAAAAUCCUACUGCUUAACAGUAGGCCCGUAGAGGAAACGGUCAGACUGGAGAAUGUGAGAGGCUGAUGGAACUCAGAGAGUAGGGGUGAAAUCCGUUGAUACUCUGGGGAACACCAAAGGCGAAGGCAUUCAGCUAGCGCAUUUCUGACCCUGAGAGACGAAAGCGUGGGUAGCGAACGGGAUUAGAAACCCGAGUAGUCC